GAUGAACGCUGGCGGCGUGCCUAAUACAUGCAAGUCGAGCGAACAGAUGAGGAUCUUGCUCCUCUGACGUUAGCGGCGGACGGGUGAGUAACACGUGUAUAACCUACCUAUAAGACUGGGAUAACUUCGGGAAACCGGAGCUAAUACCGUAUAAUAUAUUGAACCGCAUGGUUCAAUAGUGAAAGACGGUUUUGCUGUCACUUAUAGAUGGAUCCGCGCCGCAUUAGCUAGUUGGUAAGGUAACGGCUUACCAAGGCAACGAUGCGUAGCCGACCUGAGAGGGGGAUAGGCCACACUGGAACUGAGACACCGUCCAGACUCCUACGGGAGGCAGCAGUAGGGAAUCGUCGGCAAUGGGCGAAAGCAUGACGGAGCAACGGCGCGUGAGUGAUGAAGGUCUUCGGAUCGUAAAACUCGGUUAUGAGGGAAGAACAAAUGUGGAAGUAACUAUGCACGGAUUGACGGUAACUAAUAAGAAAGCAACGGCUAACUACGUG
rnacentral:rRNA from 1 species